UGUUUUCAAUGGUGGUUUUCACAUAAUAAAGUUUGAAAAUCAAAGUUUCAAAACAAUUAUUUCAUCCAGCCUCUUACCUUAACGCCAAAAAAUAAGCAAAAUCAGUUCAGCCUUUGUGACGGUCAUCGGAUUCAUAAAGAAAGCGAACCAAGUCAAUAUCCCAAAUGUUGAUUGAUGAUUAAAAUUGGUAGCAAAAGGGGGGGGGGCAAUUCGACACCUUGAGUUGACAAAGACGAAAAUAUUCGUCUCAAGACGAAUUGGAGACUCGUCAACUGCAGUUGGACGAAGCUAGAUCUGCAAGAUCAGUGGACGAUUCUAGUCUAAAGAUUGAGCUAGAGGAGAUAUUCCUUCUGAAGAUGGAACAGCGCGCCGUGUUCAUGAGGCAGAGCAAGAAGUUAGACGAAAAGGAUGGUGUAAUUUGGGUUCAACGAGUUCUUCUUUGGGUGAUUUUUUUCAUCUUUGCUUUUGUGUUCUUGAUCUUUCUAUUCAACGAGGCUGAAAGGUACUGAAA